rnacentral:rRNA from 1 species
AAUGAACGCUGGCGGCAUGCCUUACACAUGCAAGUCGAACGGCAGCAUGACCUAGCUUGCUAGGUUGAUGGCGAGUGGCGAACGGGUGAGUAAUGCAUCGGAACGUGCCUUUUAGUGGGGGAUAACGUAGCGAAAGUUACGCUAAUACCGCAUAUUCUCUGAGGAGGAAAGCAGGGGACCUUCGGGCCUUGCGCUAGAAGAGCGGCCGAUGUCGGAUUAGCUAGUUGGUGAGGUAAAGGCUCACCAAGGCAACGAUCCGUAGCGGGUCUGAGAGGAUGAUCCGCCGCACUGGGACUGAGACAAGGCCCAGACUCCUACGGGAGGCAGCAGUGGGGAAUUUUGGACAAUGGGCGCAAGCCUGAUCCAGCCAUGCCGCGUGAGUGAAGAAGGCCUUCGGGUUGUAAAGCUCUUUCGGCUGGGAAGAAAUCGCACCCUCUAAUACAGGGUGUGGAUGACGGUACCAGCAUAAGAAGCACCGGCUAACUACGUG